AUGGAGUUGUUCCAGGGAGUUGUUUGGGUGAUUUUGUGGCUUCAGAUGGACUAUGUGAGCAGCCAAAAGAUAGAGCAGAACACUCAUUCCCUGAGCAUCCUGGAGGGCGAAAAGGCCAUUCUGACUUGUGACUACACAAAUUACUCUCCAGUAAACUUCCAGUGGUACCGACAAGACGCGGGAAGAGGUCUUGUCUUCUUGCUGCUGAUACGUGAAAGUGAGGGUGAGAAAAAGGCAGGAAGACUGAAGGCCACUUUUGAUCCAGCUACCAAGCAGAGCUCCUUGCAUAUCUCAGGCUCCCAGCCUGCAGACUCAGCCACCUACUUCUGUGCCGCUGACGCACAGUAG